AGAAGCUGGGGCCCCUGGUGCUGCGGGUCCUGCUGGUGCUAAGGGGCCGCCCGGUGAUGAUGGUCCCAAGGGGAACCCGGGGCCUGUUGGUUUUCCUGGAGAUCCUGGCCCACCUGGAGAACCUGGCCCUGCUGGGCAAGAUGGUGUCGGGGGAGACAAGGGUGAAGAUGGAGAUCCAGGGCAACCGGGUCCCCCUGGUCCAUCUGGUGAGGCUGGCCCACCAGGUCCUCCCGGAAAGAGAG